rnacentral:rRNA from 1 species
AUUGAACGCUGGCGGCAGGCCUAACACAUGCAAGUCGAGCGGCAGCGGAAGGAAGCUUGCUUCCUUGCCGGCGAGCGGCGGACGGGUGAGUAAGGUAUGGGGAUCUGGCCGAAGGCGGGGGAUAACCACUGGAAACGGUGGCUAAUACCGCAUAAUCUCUAAGGAGCACAGGUGGGGCCCGCGCAGGCCUAACACCUUCGGAUGAACCCAUAUGAGAUUAGCUAGUAGGUGGGGUAAUGGCUCACCUAGGCGACGAUCUCUAGCUGGUCUGAGAGGAUGAUCAGCCACACUGGGACUGAGACACGGCCCAGACUCCUACGGGAGGCAGCAGUGGGGAAUAUUGCGCAAUGGGCGCAAGCCUGAUGCAGCCAUGCCGCGUGUAUGAAGAAGGCCUUCGGGUUGUAAAGUACUUUCAGUCGCGAGGAAGGUGUUAAGGUUAAUAACCUUAGCAAUUGACGUUAGCGACAGAAGAAGCACCGGCUAACUCCGUGCCAGCCGCCGCCGUAA